rnacentral:rRNA from 1 species
UACGUAGGCAGCGAGCGUUGUUCGGAAUUAUUGGGCGUAAAGAGUGUGUAGGCGGUGCUCCAAGUCUGUCGUGAAAUCUCCCGGCUUAACCGGGAGGGUGCGGCGGAAACUGGAGUGCUAGAGGGUGGGAGAGGAAAGCGGAAUUCCCGGUGUAGCGGUGAAAUGCGUAGAGAUCGGGAGGAACACCGGCGGCGAAGGCGGCUGCCUGGACCGGCCCUGACGCUGAGGCGCGAAAGCUAGGGGAGCAAACAGG